GCCAGGCGUGGUGGCGCACACCUGUAAUCCCAGUGGCUCAGGAGGCUGAGGCGGGAAGACUGCAAGUUCAAAGCCAGCCUCAGUAACUUAGUGAGGCCCUAAGCAACUUAGCGAGCCCCUGUCUCAA
rnacentral:sRNA from 1 species